UAUUUGCAAGGGUUGUCAACUCGCAGUA
rnacentral:sRNA from 1 species